rnacentral:misc_RNA from 1 species
GAUGAAGAACGCAGCGAAAUGCGAUACGUAAUGUGAAUUGCAGAAUUCAGUGAAUCAUCGAGUCUUUAAACGCACAUUGCGCCCCCUGGUAUUCCGGGGGGCAUGCCUGUCCGAGCGUCAUUGCUGCCCUCAAGCACGGCUUGUGUGUUGGGCCUCCGUCCUCCUCCCGGGGGACGGGCCCGAAAGGCAGCGGCGGCACCGCGUCCGGUCCUCGAGCGUAUGGGGCUUCGUCACCCGCUCUUGUAGGCCCGGCCGGCGCUUGCCGACACAUCAAUCUUUUUUCCAGGUUGACCUCGGAUCAGGUAGGGAUACCCGCUGAACUUAAGCAUAUCAAUAAGCGGAGGA